rnacentral:rRNA from 1 species
AGAAGCACCGGCUAACUUCGUGCCAGCAGCCGCGGUAAUACGGAGGGUGCGAGCGUUAAUCGGAAUUACUGGGCGUAAAGCGCAUGCAGGUGGUUUGUUAAGUCAGAUGUGAAAGCCCGGGGCUCAACCUGGGAACUGCAUUUGAAACUGGCAGACUAGAGUACUGUAGAGGGGGGUAGAAUUUCAGGUGUAGCGGUGAAAUGCGUAGAGAUCUGAAGGAAUACCGGUGGCGAAGGCGGCCCCCUGGACAGAUACUGACACUCAGAUGCGAAAGCGUGGGGAGCAAACAGGAUUAGAUACCCUGGUAGUCCACGCCGUAAACGAUGUCUACUUGGAGGUUG